rnacentral:rRNA from 1 species
UACAGAGACUGCAAGCGUUAUUCGGAUUCACUGGGCGUAAAGGGUGCGCAGGCGGCCAAGUGUGUUAGGCGUGAAAGCCCGGGGCUUAACCCCGGAAUUGCACCUAAAACUACAUGGCUAGAGCAUUGGAGAGGGUAGCGGAAUUCACGGUGUAGCAGUGAAAUGCGUAGAUAUCGUGAGGAACACCAGAGGCGAAGGCGGGUUGCUGGGCUGACACUGACGCUGAGGCGCGAAAGCUAGGGGAGCGAACGGG